AACUAGUACUUUUACGAAUGGCAAGCUGAGCCCUCGAGCAUCUCUGGAACUUUCCAUGGUCUUGUUCGGUUUUCCUGACGGAGUUGAGGUAACUCCAGCAGGUCACCCCAAGUGACCAUGUGUCCCUUGAGUGUGGUGGUGACUGUUCAUAGCCAGGCGCCGCUUACAUUUGAGGUUUUCGAAGUAAACUUGGAGCUAUGGUCUCUGACAGAAUCCACACAUGCCAGAAAACCUGCGUGGCUGAGGAUUUGGCGGGAAGGCAGGGGUGACCACAGGGGCAUCCUCAGACACUUGCCACGGGGGGGUGGGUAUUCUCCCGUGCGGGGGAGGGCCAGACGCACUCCCUUCCUCCUCCUCCAGCAAGGGGACCUCAGCCGAGAUUUGGGGAUCGCCUCACCUGUACUGACGGAACCCGCCGCCGCCCGCCCCGCUCCGCGCGCAGCCCGCCUCGCCGUUCCCAGCCAGCCGCCGCUCGGACGCCGGCGAGCUGGACGGACCGAGGGGAAAGACAGACCGACAGGCGCGAGCGAGCGAGUGAGCGAGCGAGCGCGGGGACCGGGCGGCGGGGAGCGGCGCGAGCGCGGGACGAGCGAGCGCGGGUUCAAUUAGCGAAACAAAGCAAUCAUGGCGGAGCUGGCGCACCGGGCUGCGCGCCCCGAGGACUCGGCGACCGCCCCGCGCCCUGGCCGACACCUGCGACUGUUGCCCUCCUGAAAACGUCUAGCUGCCAUUCCAGAAAGAAUAAGUGAGCUGCUUAAAUCACCUGGAGUAUGAAGGAUGGCCUAGGCGGUUGGAAAAGGCGGUUGACGUUGAAGGAAUGAAAACUGAAUUUGUGCCAACUUGGAAAAGAAGCCUACAGAGAGUUUGGGAUACUGUGAAACAACAGACUGGAUCUAGAACCGCUCCCGCACUGAGGAGCCCCAGGAGAGGGUGGCAUCCGUGCUUGUUUCCAGGCCCGUCUUCUGCUAACCUGCUAGUUGCUCCCCUUACUCAUUAUUCCUUUGUAGCUUGGUGUUUUAAGUUCCCUAGAAGCAAAAGCAAGUCAAAAGCCACAAGAAUUUAGCUUAACUAAGUGAUGAAAAUUGUUAUUCAUACGGUAUACUUUGGAAUCAGACUGGAUUUGAUGUUGUUUGUGUGUUUGGACAGGGUCUCACUGCAUAGUCCAUGCUGCGCUUGUAUUUGCCCUGUAGACCAGAAUAGCCAGAAACUCAGAGAUCCAUUCUCCAGCCUCUGCCUCCUGAGUACUGGGAGUAAACUGUGUGCCUCCAAAUCUGGCCCUCAAACUACUAUGUAAGGAUUAUUUCUGGGGGAAAGAGAUUUAUAAAUUCUGAAGCACUUUAUCAAGUAACCACUGUCCCUUUAGGGCUAGCUCUAUAAGGUUUGUUGGGUAAAUCUAAAAUAAUUUAGAUUUACUAGAAGGAUAUAUUUCAAACAACUUAUGAGAGCUAGCAUACAAUUUAUAAUAUUUGUCAUAAAAAUAACAAAACUUAAAACUUCAUGUGCUCAAAACAGAUACCAUAAUAUCCCCAGAGAACUGUUCAACUGGAGGCCUUGGGAUUUUAAUUAGAGGUGCCAAAUUAAUAAUAAAAUUAUAAAAGAGUGUGGAUUUUAGUAGAUAUAUGUUCGCAAACCAUUAUUUUAAGCUUCCCCUUCCAAUUUUGUUUCAGCCCUAACAUUUAGUUUAAAAAGUAACUGUAAGAGAAAUGUAAGAGAAGACACAAGUUCAUAAAGUAUUAACUAAUGCUCUUAGUAAACCUUUAUUAUGCCCCUUACAAGAUCAUAAGUGUUUUAUCUAUGAUUUUUAAGUAAAAGUUUCCACUGAAUAUACAUAAAUGUGUAUAAUUAUAAAUGUGUAUUUUCCAACAGAACUGAUGAUAAAUUAAAAGAGAUGGAGGAGGACAGUGCUUGCUUCCAUAUGUUACACUUCUGAGACAGAGUAAAUAAUUAUACUUUAUUAUUAGUAGUAAAACUUAACAUUAUUAUCUGAAGAAUAAUUAUAUUAACUUCUAUGACUUAAAGCCCUGCUUAUCCCCACAAUGGUUAUUAAGGAUAUACUAAUAUUUGUUAUCUUCUAGUUAUUGAGAGUAAAAAUUGAUAAUAUAUCUCCCUCUGUUCACAGUUUAGCAUAUGCUGAAAUGAUGAUAUGAAACCUUAAGGUAUAUAGUUGUCAGAAUGUACCUGGAAGUUCUUAGAAAUUUUAGAACAAAUGAUGACAGGUAAAAUGAAAGAAGCCUCAGCCCGAUGAGUUUGGGAGGAAUCAGCAGAAUUUCUUAUAAUGUCACCUUGGGAAAAAAAAAAAAAAAGAAAACCUACUAACAUAUUACACGGAUGUUUCCUGCAAUUAGAAUAACAAACACAGGUGAGACAUGUUCAAAACUGCUUACCAAGUCCUUUACAGCCCGUUUCCAUUGGUCUCCCGCGGCCGAGGAGACAAGGACGGGGUGUGAGCAUUCUCCUCACCUCCUGAUGCACAUUAGCAGUGGUACCUUGUUAGGGGUCCCUGUGUCAUUCCCUUAGAAUCACAGACAUCCCGCCCAAUUAACGUUGCUCAUUGCGAAAACCAAAGAAGCCUAGCUCAGGCAAACCUCUCAGAUGCUGGAAUCCCAGAGUCUCUGGUGCAGCAGCCACACAGUGCCUGCCUGGGCCCCCUGAAAAUAAACAUAUCUUUUGCAUAUAUGCUCUCGUGGCUGCCAGCACUCUGCCAAGGAGAAGUGCUAUUCUAAAUGGAGAUUCUUUCUGUAUCAGCAGGAAGAAUUUAUAUCCAGUCAGAGAAAAAGUGGAGAGCAGCUCUUGUUGGUCGUCACAUUUUAGAGCAGGGAAGUGCUUUGCCCUAAAGGUGCCAGGGAAAGAGAAUUGCCAAGUAAAGAAAAUUUAUUGAAUGCAUUUUCCAAAAGGGAAGCAUAUCUGACAUUUUUGUUUCUAGGCUCUCAGAGAAAUACCUCUCCUUAGUCCUUAUAUCAAGGAAGGACAUAAAACAGUCUCAUUCUGUCUUGGAAGGCACGCACCUUAAAUGUUUUCUAUUUAAUCAUCUGUAAUUAUCUUCAGCUUGUCUUUAUUCAGAUGUCUGUCUGCACCACCCGUCCGAAUACUGAACUCGCUGGGCCCUCCUUUCUGUACCUUUUCUGCUUGAGGGGAGCCCCAGAUCUGUGAGUCCACACACCUGCCCCCCACGAGGGCUAGCCACUUCCGUGUAGCAUACCCCAACAGUUGCCUGGAUUUUGCAUCCAGGAAUACACCAAGGGACCCAGUCGAGUCUACCCGCUUUGAAAGCUGGUGGGGAUAUACUGGUGGUGGGGAGUGUGCACUCUUGUGCUUGACUUUGGCAACCAUUUAGGGUCGCUGGAAAGUUCCACCCUGUCAGCCCCACCCCAAGCAUGUUACCCUCUAGCUGACAUGGCAACAGUAACCCUCAGUGUUUGCUGCUUUGUUCAACGCAUCCUGUGCUGUGGACAUCUUCUCUCUUCUGGAACUUCAGAAAAGUAAGGCCUGCCUGACAACAACAGACAAACAACAACAACACCAAAGCAACAACAACAAAAAGGGGAUCCAUCAAGUGAAAUAAACACACCCAGUCUGAGAUUCAAUUCUGUCUUGACUUGGGGAAGGGUGCUUCUCUCUUUUGUCAAGCACAGUGACUCCGGCUCUCUGUUUCGACUUGGUCAGGGACAGAACGAAAGAUUACACCUCUGGGCAGGUACAAUAUGUUAGCCCGGGAAGGACCGCUCCGGUGGUAAGGAUGACAACAAUUAGCACAUGCUACUCAUUAACAAACGGAGAUUAGAACGCAGCCGAAAUGGCAAGCUGCCAUCAGCGCGGUAGUUACGGGGCAGUUUAAUUUCUAACGAAUGUGAGCGCUGGAUCAGUAACAAUAUUCGACAAAACGCCGCCUGCAUUCUCUUAUGGCUUUCAUUACCAAAUUGAAAAUCUGUGUAGAUUUCUGAAAAUUACUUUUAAAUGUAGCCAAUCUCCUAGACUGCAAGGCUUGAUUUGCUGGUGAGGGAGCCCUGCUGUGAGAUUUUAAUGAAAGAUCAUAGUGGCCCUCCAAGGCCGGCAAAGAGCUAUGGGCCCGGGAAGACCCGAAAUAAUCUGUUUUACUUUUAAUGGCAGCCAUUUUAUAUUCAUUAAGAUCAAAAUGCAGUUUUGCAGGCAAAUUGCAAAGCUGUUCCACUCACAGCUUGAGAACCUGGAGGCCCUACAGCUUUUUAUCUUGUUCAUAAGCAAAUAUGCAGUUAAUAUCUUUUAAUAUGCUUUGAUGCUUGCUACCUUAUGGGUACAUUGUAUCAGAGGUUAGGGAACUGCAUGUUUCCUUGGCACCGUCGGCGCGAACUAAAGCCGCCGUUCUUUUAUUUCCAUAAUGGUAGAAGAAAUGAGUCUUUUUUUUUUAUUCCCCCUCCCCAUUUUUUUUUUAAAUGCGAACUCUGCUCAAAUAAAUUGUAAAGCACCAUAUAGUGUACAUUCAGGGUCUCAGCGAAAGCACAGUUUUUCACUGGGAUCCAUCUGUUGGUGGUUUGUAUUAUUUAAAUUUAUACAGUCACAUUAUUUGAAUGUAAACAGCCAAAUAAGAUAGGAUCAAAUCAUUGGCAUCUGGAAACUGUGCUCUCAUCCUCUUUGAUUGUGAGGUUGUCUGCAUUAAUAAUGGAGUUCUAAAGGCUGUGAUUCCACCUGAUAUACCGUAUGACCCUAGCAGUUGUGAUCUUAUCAGGGUUUCACUGUAGUAGAAAAUGAAGGUAUUUUGCAGCUCAUUUCCAGCAAAGCUAGUUUGCAUUAUCUGCUGUCCAAAGCAGUCCUGCUUGUUUGGUGCGUUACAAAACACCUCAACCCCCUUUCUGAUUACAGCUGUACUUCCGGUCUAGAAUGAUGUUGUAGAUUAAUUUCCAUCUGAUUUCCUAUUGAAGGCAAAUGACACUGUGUUGAAUGGGGAAAGAGGAAAGGGAAGAAGGAGGGAGGGAGGGAGGGAUAGGAAGAUGGAGAUGACACAAACAUUGAGCAUUUCUGUUUCUUCUUUGAGACAAGAAAGAAGGUUGGUCUCAGGAUUGUUGCUGCUCAGUCCAUUGCCCCACCUUAAUUAUGCUGUCCCGCACUAGUCAGGCCUAGAUAUUGUUGCCUAGAAUUAGAGACUAGCUGAGGGAUGUAGAAGCAAAGCUCAGAUUCCUUUUGGGUGGAAAGGGUUAGCAACUAAGUAAAUUCAAAUCAGCUCGAAGACUUCCGGUCUAGACUAGUUAGGGCGACAAAGAGGCUCCUGCUCUGCCACACAAAUGAUUUGGGUUUUGGGCUUCAGUCUGGGCCUCAGUGGUCUAGCUAAUACAAGGGUGGGAGCUACGGCACCUUUUGUGACAGGAGGGAGGCUGCCCUGAUUUCUCUGGAGAAGGUGAAGUUCUUGUUCAUGUGGCAGCCAUCUCAGUCACAAUGAGAGCUGCAGAGGCAGCUUGUUGAAGAACCUGAGGCAACACCUUCGUUAAAAUGAACACUCAUUGUGUCUCAAAAAAUAAACAGCUCCCUGGAAAGGAAGGCCAGCUUCUUCUCCACCUCCGGGGCACCUCUGCUCUUCCCCUCACCCCACAGCAAAUUCUUCUAUUCUACGACAUGUUUACACAUUCUAACAUCUACCUGUGAAACAGCAGAGCUUUCCUGAGGUCCCUAGAAUGCAAGUUUCCAGGGUCCUGAGAGGAAAUUUGAUAGUCUCUCUCUCCAGGUCUCUGGGAGGGGUAAAGGUGCCUGGCCUGCCAAGGCACAAUUGAAUAGGCUUCUGAAAACACUUGAAAGCAGACAUAAAUGUGUGCGUGGGCAGCUCGCCAGAGUGGCCUGCAGAUGUGGGGGCUGUGGACGGGGCCUUUUGAGUUUAAGCAAAAUGAAGUCAGGAAGUAGUGCUUAGGGCUGGAAUCAGAGGGGUGUUCUGAAAGCCUGAGGGUCAGCUCUGAAGGAAUUGAACCUGCCUGUGUCCAAGAAGAGCUAAAGUAUUCCCACCUGUCCAACUUUGAAAGGGAAAUGGAGAAUGUAAAGAACAUAUAAUUAAUUUCAAUUACAGCACUACAUAGCUCAGACUAGAUAGGCACUGUCUUCAUUUCCUGUCAGUUCAAUGGUCUCCAAGACAAAAGUCCCAGAAAUUAAAUUGAAUUAAAACAUAAAAUUUCUUCUCACAUAUCUCUGUUUUCUAUUCUUAAUACCUCUUGACAUUUAGUCUUUAAUAUGCUACAUUUUCUUCUCCUGCACAAAUAUAUACUUCAGGUUUUGAUCAGUAAGACUGCGUCAGCAGCCGUCAUGGGAUUAACAUAGCACAAAUCUUCAGGAAAAUAGUCAAAAAAAGAAAAAAAAAAAAGAAUACGCUUAGAUGUGAGAAGUCUUGUCCAAUGUUUAUUUACCAUUUGAUUUCAGAAUUAUUCUUAACUGUGCAAUUCAGUCAUUUUCUAGUGUCUGUCAGUGCUCUUUUUGAAACAAUAUGGAGAUUUGUGUAAAAUCAAUAACCUUGCUUUCUAUGAGCUCAAUGAUUGUGUUCUGCUUCUUUUUCACUCCAAAGACACUGCCAUGUGCUGUGUGGUGUGGUGGCCACAAAGGGGUCACUCUCUGGCAGAGAGCGGAUUUGCAUUUUGAUCCGGCGCAAGGGAGAGGUAAUAUUGCACACUAUUUUCACAUGCUGGUGGUAGCAGCCGUGGUGUUACCUCGUUGCAAGUUGAGGGCUGUGUAGAUUCCUAAGAAGGAGGCAUCUGUGUGUGUAGGGGGCGGAUGCCGUGAAGAAUAAUAUCACCCUCCAUGAGACUUUGUCAGGGAAACUGGAGAGAAAACAGUCUCCAUUGGAGCUUUCUGCUAUUUGGGUUUCCUUCAGCACCAAUUAUUCAUCAGAAUAUUUGAAUCCAUACAUAAUGGAGUUCUUUGGCUCCUACAUAGUAAUGUCUUUAAACAUGCAAAAGAAAGUUCUAUCUCUCAAAUUCCUCCAAAAAGGUUAUCAAGAUUGCCCCGAAGGGCUGACAGAGUCCUGCCAGGGAGUGUUUUGAAGGAUGAUGUUAUUAUUUUUCAUUGGUCAUUUCACCAAAGUAUUAAGAGAAAAAAAUUGACACCUAUCCCUUCGAUCUUAUUUAGCAAGAAAAAAAAAAACAUCAUCAACAACAACAAUAAAAAAAAAGGAAAAAAAAUACAAGAUUUCACUUUAACAGGGUCUUUCAG